UACAAGAAAACGUUUUUAAUUUUUAAACCUGUUUGGUUGCUGAGAAAAUUUUAAACCAGGGACCGCCCAUUUCAGUUUCUCUGGACUGGAAGGUUCCAAACGGUGGGGCUCAGACCUCUUUGACCUUCCGGGCUGUCUGCUUGAGUCCCAACACUGUUUAUGAUCACGAGACCUCCAAUUUCGUUGAGUUCUAUUCCAUUCGCCUCUUUUAUUCUUCCUGUCUUUGAAUUUCUCGCUCUCUUCUUGUGCCUCUGCUCGUUAGGGUUUUCUGAAUGCUGAUAAGUUUGCCUAUUUCCGUACCUCAACUCCUAAUGUAGAAAAUGCAUGUUCUCUGUUUUCCACUUUUUGGGUUUUUGGCUUCUAAUCCUGUUUGUUUGAAAGGAAAAGAAAUAAAUUCCAGGAAAAUUUGGGAGCGAAUAAAACUAAAUAAAUACUUAUCAUUCUCAUUUUGUCAGUUUAUGAAUGUUAUUGUUUUUUCUUUAACACUUUCUGAGUAUGCCAAUGUUUCUUUAUUGUUUCUUUGUUGGUUAGCAAUGGUUGGAGUAGAAAUAAGGUGUGGAUUCUACCCCAAAGGGGUUUUUAUGCACGCAGGACAAUGCUAUAUAGCCCAACUAUUUUCCCCAACUUAUGGUCAUUCUCAAGUUUUAGAUUCUAUCACAUUGUAGUGUUUUUAAUGCAAGAUGUGGUGUGCGUAUCAUGUGCCAUUUAGGCUGGGAGAAAUAGUUGGGGUUAGUAGCAUUUUCCAUAAUUCCAUGUUUGUAUGUCUGUGUGCAUGUAAAUGUAGAUUAGUAGAUGUAUGCAAAUGUAUGCAUGCAUGGUGGAGAAUCUGUAACCAUUGUUGCACAUGCAAUUGGUGCCUGCAAGCAUGUUUGCAAAUGUAGAUGUAUUUAUGUAUGUAAAGUAUGUUAGAGAAUCUGCAGCCAUGCUUGCAAAUGUGUAGUUGGUGCCCGGAGAUCAAAUUCUAGUAGGAGACUGCUGCUAACGGAAAAUCCAGUCAGUGUGGCGUCUAUUUCAUUUCUGUUAUCGUAUCUUGAACAGGAGUAGAAAUUCAUACUGCUGAGAGCACAAUAAAGUAGAGAAAAUGCACUUCAACUUUGAUGCCUUAAGACUGAACUUUGUUAGCAUUAGAGAAUUUAAUGGUGCAUAGUUGUUUGGGUAACAUAUUCAUUUUCCAUAUCUUAUGAUAAUUAUAGAUAGGGUUGAGUCUGGCCUUCUUCAUAUUCUUCUACUUGUGCUGCAGAACAUUAUGCUUAGCUUCAGUUUCCAAGCCCAAUGACAAUGACCUGGGUGGGAUUUGAAUAUUGGUUUUAUUAGCUUUCUUACUACGCAUUUUUCUUUCAAAUGAGACAACAGCACCUCACAUGAAAAGAAAGUGAGACUGCUUCACAUGAAACUGUUGAAUUAUUCAACGAAGAUGUAAGCCAUUAUGGAUAUUGACACAAUGGGAGUUGAUCUGUUUCCCACUUUCAGAAUGUUGACUUUGAUCCUCUCUACCACGAUAUUAGAUGACUGUGGGACAACCUAUGGAAGCUUAUGACGACUGCAUUUCUAAUUUUCUGGAGGCCCAAACACGCAAGCGCACCUCUUCUUUAAAGAGAAUCUUCCCCCUGAAAACUUUUCAAAGGAGGUAGCCUUAAAUUUAUAGUUUCUCCAAACUAGCUAGUACGAUAAAUGAUCUUUUGCAACAUUCAUUCAUGUGUGUGCACAGCAUUCAUUUUUUCUUGAAGUUGCUCUCUCUUCUGGUUUAGAUGCACAAUAGAUCUAGAACAUAUCCAAUUUAUGAGAUAGUCAAAGAAUUAUAUAGCAGUUUCCCCUUUUUUGCUUCUUGCCUUGUGAACUUCCUUCUAGGCACUUUAAUUUUGUGUCAGUGUUGAGUUGCUAUAGCUCAGUGCUCACCUUUGUUGGCUUGCAUAAACUGAACUCUCUCUUAUGUUUUUUUCCUUUUUUUUUCACAAUGGAAAUUGACCUUUAAAAUUUUAUAGGCAUAACUUCAGAUUCCUAAACUGGUUCUCCAUAAGAUAAGGCAACGUAACCGACUCGAUCUUGAGCUUGAUGAAUAUGCUCACAAUACCUUUGCAAACAAUACAAGCCUAUAAUGCAAAUUUUUGUUACCACAGUGCACAAUUCCAUACAUAUAUACAUACAUCAUACCUGUGUGGCAGGAUGCAUAAAAUAUAUGUAUUGUGUCUGUUUUUCUUCCAAUUGAUAAAUGUACAUUCAACCAUGAAUUUUUAGUUUUGUAAAAAAUGGGCCUGUGAACUGAAAGUGUAACUGUGGUGGAAGAAAAUGCUUUGUGAUGGUUUCAGAAAUUGAAUUCUUUUUUGUAGGUGUUCAUGUUUUGAAAGUGUUCAGAUGGUUUCCAGGUGGGGAAUUUCAUCUAACCACAACUUGUAAAUUCUAUUGUAAUGGGGCUUUGGGACUGAAAUAGCAGAUUGUUGUUGGUAAUUGUAUAUGAUGCCUUAGAUUUUAAAAUACAGAAAUCCUGUUUUAAGCAUUCACCUUUGUUAGUGCCCAGAUGGUUGCUUGACCUCAAAGGGAUUUAUGGCAGCAUCAUGGUUAUUUUCAUUGUCCAAAUCUUUUCCUGACUGUUUCUCCAACAUGAGAGCUGCUUGGGUUCAUUGCACAGUUACAAUAACUCAUAGAUAUUCAUAUUUUGUACCAAGCUUUUAUCUUGCCUGUCCACAUGCAGACAUGAACUGACAAUUUCUCUCUAGUGGCCACCUCUUACAAACUGUUUAUGCCGACCUGUAAAUUUGUAUGGAUUUUGCUAAGGUUAGUUGACCACACGCGCUUGGGCGACUGACCAUAGCAUAUUCCAGUGUUCUCUGCAGCUAAGGGUUUACAUGCUUUGAUGACAGGAGAAGCGGGAGAGUACAUUGAACAGCUCAUAUGGCACAGUCUUUGUCAUUUUG